UACGGGGGGGCAAGCGUUGUUCGGAAUUACUGGGCGUAAAGGGCUCGUAGGCGGCCAACUAAGUCGGACGUGAAAUCCCUCGGCUUAACCGGGGAACUGCGUCCGAUACUGGAUGGCUUGAGUUCGGGAGAGGGAUGCGGAAUUCCAGGUGUAGCGGUGAAAUGCGUAGAUAUCUGGAGGAACACCGGUGGCGAAGGCGGCA
rnacentral:rRNA from 1 species